UGCACGAUACCUCAGGCAUGCA
rnacentral:piRNA from 1 species